rnacentral:rRNA from 1 species
GGGGAAUAUUGCACAAUGGGCGAAAGCCUGAUGCAGCGACGCCGCGUGAGGGAUGGAGGCCUUCGGGUUGUAAACCUCUUUCGCUCAUGGUCAAGCCGCAACAAUGGUUGUGGUGAGGGUAGUGGGUAAAGAAGCGCCGGCUAACUACGUGCCAGCAGCCGCGGUAAUACGUAGGGCGCGAGCGUUGUCCGGAAUUAUUGGGCGUAAAGGGCUUGUAGGCGGUUGGUCGCGUCUGCCGUGAAAUCCUCUGGCUUAACUGGGGGCGUGCGGUGGGUACGGGCUGACUUGAGUGCGGUAGGGGAGACUGGAACUCCUGGUGUAGCGGUGGAAUGCGCAGAUAUCAGGAAGAACACCGGUGGCGAAGGCGGGUCUCUGGGCCGUUACUGACGCUGAGGAGCGAAAGCGUGGGGAGCGAACAGGAUUAGAUACCCUGGUAGUCCACGCUGUAAACGUUGGGCACUAGGUGUGGGGGCCACCCGUGGUUUCUGCGCCGUAGCUAACGCUUUAAGUGCCCCGCCUGGGGAGUACGGCCGCAAGGCUA